rnacentral:rRNA from 1 species
AUUGAACGCUGGCGGCACGCCUAACACAUGCAAGUCGAGCGGUAACAUGUUUAGUAGCAAUACUAGAUGAUGACGAGCGGCGGACGGGUGAGUAACACGUAGGAACCUAUCCAAGAGAGGGGGACAACCAAGGGAAACUUUGGCUAAUACCGCGUAAUCUCGGAAGAGGAAAGCUGCCUCGCAAGAGGUGGUGCUUUUGGAGGGGCCUGCGUCCGAUUAGCUAGUUGGUGAGGUAAAAGCUUACCAAGGCGAUGAUCGGUAACUGGUCUGAGAGGACGACCAGUCACACUGGGACUGAGACACGGCCCAGACUCCUACGGGAGGCUG